rnacentral:lncRNA from 1 species
GUUGAGUUUGGCUGUCGGAAUUCCACAGCUUCUUUCCCUCAAGGCUUGUUAAACGAAGUGCUUAGACUCUCAGUAGUUCCUCAUUAGGAAGAUUCUAGGACACACCCAGAUGAGUACAUUCAGUUUGUUUCUAGCAACCUUUCCUUGUCAGAUGAGCUAAAAGGUUAACUAUUUAUUAAGGUGGAGCAACAAUGAGGUGAGUAAGCAGUGACUGAGUCAUGAGCUGGGAGUUGGAGCACUGAGAAGCUUGUGAUGAUUGAGUCCAGGUAAGUUGGAUUUGUUUCCUUCUGUUGCAGUUUCCAAAGGCAUGAGGAGGAGAGGGUGAAAAGAUGAGAACCAAGAGGAGUAAAAGCAAGGAAUGGGGAGGAGAGAGAGCAAGAGAGUCCUCUUUUGGACCUGGCUUUCUGACUGGGCCAGCCUCUAUACCUGGUAAGCAAUUUUACCUGGUAAGUUCAUGAUGCUUCUGUCUUGGAAGCAGAACUUGAGACAUUGUCGUGGUGGAUAAUGGUGAUGUCAGGACAGACCAUUUGUGGUAGGUCUGGUGGGUAGGUGGUGGCCGUUGCUGAGCUCCUAUUUCACACAG